GUCUACAGCCAUACCACCCUGAACGCACCCGAUCUCGUCUGAUCUUGGAAGCUAGGGAGGGUUAGGCCUGGUUAGUACUUGGGUGGGAAGAAAGCUGGCUUCACU
rnacentral:rRNA from 1 species